GAUGACUGGCUUGGAAUAGCCAAGUGUUUAUAGCAACGCCACUUUUUGACCUUCGAUGUCGGCUCUUCCUAUCAUUGUGAAGCAGAAUUCACCAAGUGUUAUACUGUUCACCCAUUGGAAGCUGGGUUGACUGUCGGCUAGUU
rnacentral:ncRNA from 1 species